rnacentral:rRNA from 1 species
UUGUUUGGAGAGUUUGAUUCUGGCUCAGGACGAACGCUGGCGGCGUGCUUAACACAUGCAAGUCGAACGGUAAGGCCCUUCGGGGUACACGAGUGGCGAACGGGUGAGUAACACGUGGGUAAUCUGCCCUGCACAUCGGGAUAAGCCUGGGAAACUGGGUCUAAUACCGAAUAGGACCACAGGACACAUGUCCUGUGGUGGAAAGCUUUUGCGGUGUGGGAUGGGCCCGCGGCCUAUCAGCUUGUUGGUGGGGUGAUGGCCUACCAAGGCGACGAC